AUGCAAACUACUUUAAUCUUUAAUCUGCAUCAAGCACAACUUCAAUCAUCAUCUUCUAUUUUACAUCACUGCAAGAAAGUGGAAAUCACAAGAGCAUCAGUGCAACAUCGUUUGCUUUCAACCACAAUAACUUUUGCGCGCUGCAAGGACAACAACACAUUAAUUCAAUCACGCAGAAAAGAGGCGAAUAAGAAGAAGAAAAGGAUUUUGGAUGCUUACCUAAUUUCUUUAAAGAUCAGGUUCCUGAUUUCUUCCGUCGACAUUGAAGAAUCAUCAGAAUUCGCGCUGGCAAAGCGCUGCUGA